rnacentral:tRNA from 1 species
GGUUCCAUAGUGUAGCGGUUAUCACGUCUGCUUUACACGCAGAAGGUCCUGGCUUCGAGCCCCAGUGGAACCA